UGUCUUGGGGUGGGGGGAAAGUUG
rnacentral:piRNA from 1 species